GUGGGGAAUAUUGCGCAAUGGGGGAAACCCUGACGCAGCGACGCCGCGUGAGUGAUGAAGGCCUUCGGGUCGUAAAGCUCUGUUGCAGGGGAAUAAAAAAAUGAAGGUACCCUGUGAGGAAGGAUCGGCUAACUUCGUGCCAGCAGCCGCGGUAAGACGAGGGAUCCUAGCGUUGCUCGGAAUCAUUGGGCGUAAAGAGGGCGUAGGUGGCUUGGUAAGUCAGGUGUGAAAGCCCAGGGCUCAACCCUGGAAGUGCAUUUGAUACUGCUGAGCUUGAGUGUCGGAGAGGUUACCGGAAUACCUGGUGUAGUGGUGAAAUACGUAGAUAUCAGGUGGAACACCGGAGGCGAAGGCGGGUAACUGGACGAACACUGACACUGAGGCCCGAAAGCGUGGGGAUCAAACAGGAUUAGAAACCCGGGUAGUCC
rnacentral:rRNA from 1 species